rnacentral:rRNA from 1 species
CGGGUGAGUAAUGCUUGGGAAUCUAGCUUAUGGAGGGGGAUAACUACGGGAAACUGUAGCUAAUACCGCGUAGAAUCGGGAGAUGAAAGUGUGGGACCUUCGGGCCACAUGCCAUAGGUUGAGCCCAAGUGGGAUUAGGUAGUUGGUGAGGUAAAGGCUCACCAAGCCGACGAUCUCUAGCUGGUCUGAGAGGAUGACCAGCCACACUGGGACUGAGACACGGCCCAG